rnacentral:tRNA from 1 species
GGUAGAAUGGCUGAGUUUUAAGCGAUAAAUUGUAAAUUUAUUUACGAAUGUAAAUUCUUCUACCA